rnacentral:rRNA from 1 species
GACGAACGCUGGCGGCGUGCUUAACACAUGCAAGUCGAACGGAGUGGCGAACGGGUGAGUAACACGUGGGUGAUCUGCCUUGCACUUCGGGAUAAGCUUGGGAAACUGGGUCUAAUACCGGAUAGUGCAAGAUGCGCUCGCGGCCUAUCAGCUUGUUGGUGGGGUAAUGGCCUACCAAGGCGUCGACGGGUAGCCGGCCUGAGAGGGUGUACGGGCACAAUGGGACUGGGGUACCGACCAGAACUCUACGGGGGGCAGGAGGUGGGAAUAGUGCAAAAUGGGCGGAAGCCCGAUGCAGCGACGCCGCGUGGGGGAUGAAGGCCUUCGGGUUGUAAACUCCUUUCGACAGGGACGCGGUACCUGUAUAAGAAGCACCGGCUAACUACGUGCCAGCAGCCGCUGUAAUAC